UUUUCCCUCCCUUUCCGUCUCUGAUUCUUUUUAAUUUGCUGUUUUGUUUGCUUUAUAAUUAUUAACUCUUCGAAUUAACGAAUGCUUGAAUUGUAAUUGAAGUUUUGGUAUCUAGUUAUAGUUAAUAACCUAAAGGAAUUAAUCUAGACAUAGCAACCAAAGGAGAGGUGAAACAAAUCAUGAAGCCAAUCCUUAGUUUACUGUGUUUUUGUUGUCGCUAUUAGAAAGGUGGGCACUUUAUGGGAUGACGACUUGAAUAGUGAGUCAUUUCUAUGUUAAUUGCAUGGGAAACUUGAGCCUUUUUCCUUUACCUUUCUUUCCUUCCAGCACUCAAAACGCUUUUCGCUUUUUCUUGGUUUCUUCUUAAGAUAUAAUUACUUAUCGAUACAGAAAUGACCAACUUGAGUUGAACCUACCGUACAAGUUCCAUCUUAAAACAUCAAUGUCUUAAGAGUAGUAGCAGUUGGUUAAUAUUUUCGUACUUAACUAACCGAUGUGGGAUUUGCCCUUAACAAUUUCUGCUAGAAAUUCUUGAAAGUUAUAUAAGCCUCGUAAUUCCUGGCUUCACACUCUAAAUGAUAAAGGGUAUGAUACGAAUUAUUAAUUUUUAUGAAUCAGUAGAUUGGUUGUUUGAUUACAGAAAGUUGUUCUGUUUGAUCCUUUUUUCUAUAUGAUUUACGAGCACACCAUAAAUCUUAAGACAAUUUGUUUAAUGGGCUAGUUAGCUCAUUUAGCUAACUUCAACUAUUGGGUUCACCUUAUAUACUACAGUGGCUGGGAACAACAUCUACACAUUAUAUUACUGGCACCCCUGCUGACAUUGUAUAGCUCUAUAAAAUAUUGAGCGAUAUUAUAAAUUGUAUUGGAUUUGAUUGUUCUGCUGGUUUACUUAUUGAUGGUCGAGUGGAAAUUCGAAGUUUGGGAGGGUAGGAGAACGAUAGAAGGAUGGUUUUGGUUGGACGGUGGCGCAGUUUUUUAAAUUGAGACAGGUCGGCUGGAUAAUCUCACUGCCUUAAGCUCAAAAGAUUGCAGAUUAAAGUCCCUUGAAAGUUUUAUUCUUGGUAGCCCAGUUCUUCAGAAUUAGUGCUUGGCUGCUUUUAAAUAUUUUUUAUCCAAUUUUAUGUUGGAGAUACGAUUAACUCGUAAAUUUUUCUCUGUCCAUUGCAUAAAUUUGUAAGUUACUGUCAUGAUAUUGUCAAUGUCAUCUUCAUGAUUAUUUUUAAAAUGAAAGCCGACCUAUGGGCAUUGUUGUGAGGUAAUCCUCAACUUUACAAGUUUGUAGCAACUUGGUCUCUGGUAGUUGUAGAUGGCGUUCAUCCAUUUGAAUGUAAGACAACAUUUUUUUUGCAGGAGGGACGAUUUAAUCUUUAUUUUCAACUGAAAGAGAAAUAGAAAUAGAAAAUCAAAAAUAGAAAAGGAAGGGGGAUUAUAAAACAAAAUCUCCCUAACCCCAAUUCUGCAUACCCCUUCCCACACCUAUAUCUCUUGCAGGGGCAUGGUGGGAUAGCCGGACGCAGCUGGUGGUUUGGAUGCAGUUAUUUCUUUUUCCUUUUUGAGUCCUAUCAUUUCCCUGUUUGUUUUGUGUUUCAACAAAAUUAUUUCUGGUUACCCAUUUUACAUAAAACAGCACUCUUCUUGCAAGUGACAUUUUAAUGCUGAAAAUUUAUGGCUUCCUACUUUCCAUUCACUGGGGACCAAAUGAAAGGAUGACUAUUAUAUAUAUUACAAGCAAUAAGGGCAGGGAACCUGUUUUCACAGAUUCAAUGCGUUGCCGACCACCACUGUGAUUUUCCCUUGGAAUCAAAAUUUUAUGUUGUUAGUGUUUGGAAGGGUGUGCAGGUGUAAGUGUACACUUUCUACGUUAUAGAGAUCUCUGCGUUAACCUUUUACCUUUACCCCUAGUAUUUUUUUGUUAUCGAUUUGAAGAAGUGCAAAAGUUGUAAACAAUUUUACUGUAGAUGCUUACUUUUACUGUAUUCUUAUUAUGCUGUUUUGGAAAAUGAUUAAUUUGUUUACAAUGUUUAGAAAUAUUAUAAUGAAUUUUACUGUAUGCCUUCACUAUUAAUAUAUUUAUAUUCCAGUCUUUUGGUAAAUAAACGACAUGUUUACAAUGCUUAGACAGCCAGGAAUAUGGAAAAUCAUUGGUGCAUCAUGCAGCUUAUUAUACCAUCGUUGAAGUGGCCAAAGCCUUACAGCAACGUUGCAUCUUAACUGGUGUGUUCCCUUUUUCCAGUAAUUCAGAGACUGGAAUCCAUGGAAGCAAAGGUUAUCUCCAGCGGAAUCCGACACUCAAGCCUCCCUAGAAGUUAAUCUUGCAACAACAUACAAAAGCAUCCGGGUGGGGUUUUAUUGCUAACCAUUUGUCGGCCAUGUGUUGCCUUCAAGUUCUGAUAGAUGGCAAAUGGUUAGCAAUAAAUCCCCACGCAGAUGCUUUUGUCAUCAAUAUUGGUGAUCAGUUGCAGGCGCCGAGUAAUGGAAAAUAAAAGUGUGUGGCAUCGAGCUAUAGUAAAUCCACAUAAAGCAAGAUUGUCAGUAUCUUCCUUCCUCUGCCCGUGUGAUAGUGUAAUGAUCGUUGCGCCAAAGGCUCUUAUAAAUGAUGGAUCUCCAUCCAUUUAUCGGGAUUUCACAUACGCGGAGUAUUACAAGAAGUUAUGGAGUCGGAACCUUGACCAGGAACACUGUUUGGAACUUUUCAAGAACUAAAUUUGCUAUUUGGCCUCUAGAUUGCGACUUUAUUUUUGUGCUCGCCUCGCUACAUCACACGGAUUGUGACAAGAAGUGAAUUUUAUUAGCUAAUGUCCUCCUUUUGUUUCUCUGAUUGCUCUAAUUAUGUUUGUCACCGGAUGAUAUUUUACUUCUGGUAUAGGAAUUUCGGAGUUUAUUUUUCAUCAUAAAGCCAAUGACGCGUGGUUUUUAUUCUCUUUGUUGAACCUCAUUAUUUGGCCAAGAAUGCAUUUUAGAAUGAUAUAUUGAUGUAUAAUGUGUGAUUAGAAAAUAAGAAAAAGUUUUGAGUUUA